UGUGUAGGCGGUUUGGUAAGUCUGGUGUGAAAUCUCCCGGCUCAACUGGGAGGGUGCGCCGGGGACUGCCGGACUCGAGUGCGGGAGAGGAGAGUGGAAUUCCUGGUGUAGCGGUGAAAUGCGUAGAUAUCAGGAGGAACACCGGUGGUGUAGACGGCUCUCUGGACCGUAACUGACGCUGAAACACGAAAGCGUGGGUAGCAAACAGGAUUAGAUACCCUGGUAGUCCACGCCCUAAACGAUGCAUAUUUGGUGUGGGUCAUUCAGUUGAUCCGUGCCGGAGCUAACGCGUUAAAUAUGCCGCCUGGGGAGUACAGUCGCAAGGCUGAA
rnacentral:rRNA from 1 species